rnacentral:rRNA from 1 species
CUACGGGUCGCAGCAGUGAGGAAUCUUCCGCAAUGGGCGAAAGCCUGACGGAGCGACACCGCGUGGAGGACGAAGGCCUUUUGGUUGUAAACUCCUUUUCUGGGGGAAUAAAUGAUGAAGGUACCCCAGGAAUAAGCACCGGCUAACUACGUGCCAGCAGCCGCGGUAAUACGUAGGGUGCAAGCGUUAUCCGGAAUUAUUGGGCGUAAAGCGCUCGUAGGUGGUUUAAAAAGUCUAUGGUUAAAUCUGGUCGCUCAACGAUCAAAUCGCUGUAGAAACUCUUAAACUGGAGGAUGGCAGGGGCAACUGGAAUUCCACAUGUAGGGGUAAAAUCCGUUGAUAUGUGGAGGAACACCAAAAGCGAAGGCAGGUUGCUGGGCCAUUCCUGACACUGAGGAACGAAAGCGUGGGGAGCAAACAGGAUUAGAUACCCUCGUAGUC